GUGCUUGCUGCAGCAGCACAUAUACUAAAACUGGAGCGAUAUAGAGAAGAUUAGCACGGCUCCUGCACAAGGAUGACACACAAAUUCGUGAAGCAUUCCAAAUUUUA
rnacentral:snRNA from 1 species